rnacentral:rRNA from 1 species
UACGUAGGCAGCGAGCGUUGUUCGGAGUUACUGGGCGUAAAGAGUGCGUAGGCGGUUUUCUAAGUUUGGUGUGAAAUCUCCCGGCUUAACUGGGAGGGUGCGCCGAAAACUGGAAGGCUUGAGUAUGGGAGAGGUAAGCGGAAUUCCUGGUGUAGCGGUGAAAUGCGUAGAUAUCGGGAGGAACACCUGAGGCGAAGGCGGGUUACUGGGCCGAUACUGACGCUGAUGCGCGAAAGCCAGGGGAGCAAACGGG